rnacentral:rRNA from 1 species
GCUGACUAGCUAGCCAAUACAUUUGGUCUAACACCACAAUAUACAUACCCCAAUAAAACUUAGAAUUAAGUCAACAAACCAUUUUUCCACCUUAGUACGGGCGACCGAAAAGGAGAUAACUGAGCAACAGAAAAAGUACCGCAAGGGAAAGCUGAAAGAGAAUUGAAAUAAUCCAUUUAAGCCUAGAAAAGCAGAGAUUAAAUCUCGUACCUUUUGCAUCAUGAUUUAGCCAGCAAACCUGAGCAAAGAGAACUUUAGUUCAGGCCCCCGAAACUAGACGAGCUACUCCGGGACAGCCUAUUAUAGGGCUAACCCGUCUCUGUGGCAAAAGAGUGGGACGAGCCCCGAGUAGAGGUGAUAAACCUAUCGAGCCUAGUUAUAGCUGGUUGCUUAGGAAAUGAAUAGAAGUUCAGCCCCCCGGCUUUCUUAGGACCUUGAGGUAAAACUAAUAUUGUCCCAAAGAAACCAGGAGAGUUAGUCAAAGGAGGUACAGCUCCUUUGAACAAGGACACAACCUUAACAGGCGGCUAAGGAUCAUAAUUACUAAGGUAACCUGUUACAGUGGGCCUAAGAGCAGCCACCUGCACAGAAAGCGUUAAAGCUCAGACAGAUAUAAACCUCUUAUCCUGAUAAGAAAUCCCACCCCCCUAACCGUACUAAGCCAUUCCAUGCCCCCAUGGAAGAGAUUAUGCUAGAAUGAGUAAUAAGAGAGAACAACUCUCUCCCAGCACAUGUGUAAGUCGGAUCGGACCCACCCCCGACAAAUAACGAACCCAAACCAAGAGGGAACUGUAGGCCAGAAUAAACACCGAGAAGAACCUACACCAACGAAUCGUUAACCCCACACAGGAGUGCCCCCAGGGAAAGACCCAAAGGAAGAGAAGGAACUCGGCAAACACAAGCCUCGCCUGUUUACCAAAAACAUCGCCUCUUGCAAAUCAAAACAUAAGAGGUCCCGCCUGCCCUGUGACUAUGGGUUUAACGGCCGCGGUAUUUUGACCGUGCGAAGGUAGCGCAAUCACUUGUCUUUUAAAUGAAGACCUGUAUGAAUGGCAUCACGAGGGCUUAGCUGUCUCCUCUUCCAAGUCAAUGAAAUUGAUCUGCCCGUGCAGAAGCGGACAUAAGCACAUAAGACGAGAAGACCCUAUGGAGCUUUAGACACCAGGCAGAUCACGUCAAACAACCUUGGAUUAACAAGUAAAAACGCAGUGACCCCUAGCCCAUAUGUCUUUGGUUGGGGCGACCGCGGGGGAAAAUUAAGCCCCCAUGUGGACUGGGGGCACUGCCCUCACAGCCAAGAGCUACAACUCUAAGCACCAGAAUAUCUGACCAAAAAUGAUCCGGCAAACGCCGAUCAACGGACCGAGUUACCCUAGGGAUAACAGCGCAAUCCUCUCCCAGAGUCCCUAUCGACGAGGGGGUUUACGACCUCGAUGUUGGAUCAGGACAUCCUAAUGGUGCAGCCGCUAUUAAGGGUUCGUUUGUUCAACGAUUAAAGUCCUACGUGAUCUGAGUUCAGACCGGAGUAAUCCAGGUCAGUUUCUAUCUAUGAAGUGUUGUUUCCUAGUACGAAAGGACCGGAAAGAAGGGGCCCAUGCUUAAGGCACGCCCCACCCCCACCUGAUGAAGGCAACUAAAACAGACAAGGGGGCACACCAAGAUUGCCUAAAAGAACGGCGCGCUAAGAUGG